AAUGAUAAUGGUGAAUUCAACCUUGGGCUCAGCAAAGACAUUAGAGGGUUGCUCAGCUUGCACGACAUGUCGCACCUCAACGUAGGAGAAUCAUCACUCUACAAGGCAAAUGAAUUCUCAAGCAAGCAACUUAGAUUUGCAAUUAAGUAUCUGGAGCCAAACCUUGCAAGAUAUGUAAGACGGUCACUAGACCAUCCCUAUCAUGUGAGUCUGAUGCAAUACAAGGCAAGGCACCAUCUGAGUUAUCUACAGAGCAUGCACACUAGGAACAUGGCAAUUGAGAAUUUGGCUCUUGCAGAGUUUAUGAUUAAGAAGUUGCAGCAUCAGAGAGAAAUGCAAAAGGUUAAGAGAUGGUGGAUGGAUCUAGGAUUGGCUCAAGAAAUUCCGUCUGCAAGGGACCAAGUUCUUAAAUGGUACAUGUGCUCCAUGACCGUCAUCGAGGGUUUCUCUUUCUCUAGAUAUCGGAUUGAGAUCACACAGAUCAUAUCCACGGUCUACAUUGUGGAUGACAUCUUUGAUCUUGUCGCCACACAAGAGGAGCUUUCCCUCUUUACUGAGGCGAUCAAAAUGUGGGAUCUUGCAGCUGUUGAUUCACUCCCAAGCUACAUGAUAUCAUGUUACAAGGCUCUUUACACUAUCACAAGUGAUGUCGCCGAUAUGGUCAGAAAAGAGCAUGGAUCGAGCCGUAUCAAUCAUCUCAAGAAAGCAUGGGCAACUUUGUUUGAUGGAUUCAUGAUCGAGGGAAAAUGGUUAUCUACUAAUCAGAUCCCUACAUCCGAGGACUAUCUAGGAAACGGGAUUGUCACUUCAGGAGCUCCACUUGUAUUCAUGCAUCUUUUAUUCAUGUUGGGGCAUGAAUUACCCGAGUGCAACAAUGACGACAUCCAUCGGAUCAUCUCCUGCCCUCCAAAGAUCAUGAGGCUCUGGGAUGACAUGGGCAGUGCAAAGGUCUGA
rnacentral:rRNA from 1 species